GACCGCGUAAGCUCAGUUGGAAGAGCAUUGGGCUAGUAUUCCAAAGGUCGUAGGUUCGAAUCCCACCGUGGCCG